AUUGAACGCUGGCGGCAGGCCUAAUACAUGCAAGUCGAGCGGAGCGGGGGACGGGGGAGUAAUGCCGAGGAAUCUGCAUGGGAGUGGGGGAUAACGUCCGGAGACGGGCGCUAAUACCGCAGAAUAGAAGAGGAGCCUAGGUCGGAUUAGCUAGUUGGUGGGGUAAAGGCCUACCAAGGCGACGAUCCGUAACUGGUCUGAGAGGAUGAUCAGGCACACUGGAACUGAGACACGGUCCAGACUCCUACGGGAGGCAGCAGUGGGGAAUAUUGGACAAUGGUCGAAAGUCUGAUCCAGCCAUGCCGCGUGUGUGAAGAAGGUUUUCGGAUUGUAAAGCCCUUUAAGUUGAGAGGCGUUACCAACAGAAUAAGCACCGGCUAACUUCGUGCCAGCCGCCGCGGUAAUUC
rnacentral:rRNA from 1 species